rnacentral:rRNA from 1 species
GCUGAUUCGGGAAGCCUGGGAACUGGGUCUAAUACCGGAUAGGACCACGGGAUUCAUGUCCUGUGGUGGAAAGCUUUUGCGGUGUGGGAUGGGCCCGCGGCCUAUCAGCUUGUUGGUGGGGUAACGGCCUACCAAGGCGACGACGGGUAGCCGGCCUGAGAGGGUGUCCGGCCACACUGGGACUGAGAUACGGCCCAGACUCCUACGGGAGGCAGCAGUGGGGAAUAUUGCACAAUGGGCGCAAGCCUGAUGCAGCGACGCCGCGUGGGGGAUGACGGCCUUCGGGUUGUAAACCUCUUUCACCAUCGACGAAGGUUCGGGUUUUCUCGGAUUGACGGUAGGUGGAGAAGAAGCACCGGCCAACUACGUGCCAGCAGCCGCGGUAAUACGUAGGGUGCGAGCGUUGUCCGGAAUUACUGGGCGUAAAGAGCUCGUAGGUGGUUUGUCGCGUUGUUCGUGAAAUCUCACGGCUUAACUGUGAGCGUGCGGGCGAUACGGGCAGACUAGAGUACUGCAGGGGAGACUGGAAUUCCUGGUGUAGCGGUGGAAUGCGCAGAUAUCAGGAGGAACACCGGUGGCGAAGGCGGGUCUCUGGGCAGUAACUGACGCUGAGGAGCGAAAGCGUGGGGAGCGAACAGGAUUAGAUACCCUGGUAGUCCACGCCGUAAACGGUGGGUACUAGGUGUGGGUUUCCUUCCUUGGGAUCCGUGCCGUAGCUAACGCAUUAAGGUACCCCGCCUGGGGAGUACGGCCGCAAGGCUAAAACUCAAAGGAAUUGACGGGGGCCCGCACAAGCGGACGGGAGUAUGUGGAUUUAUUCCGAUGCCAUCGCGAAAAAACCUUACCG